rnacentral:lncRNA from 1 species
AGCUGGGUCCUCAUCCCGGAGCGAGAGAGGCAUCUGCUGACCAGGCGCGGGGCUGAGCGCACUCCUUCCACUGUACUGGGGGUGUACAGUGAGGAGUGGACGGGUUCGCUCUGCGCCCCCCUUACCCUAGCCAUCUGCGCCGCCUCCCUGGCCCCUCAGCAGGUGGUGCGGGCCCGGACAGCGGCUGGGGGCCAGAGGAACUGCGGGGAGAGCGUGGUGGUGCCGGUGCCCGUCCAACCCAAACUUUUUAGUCUGAGUGGUGGCCCGCGACGCCCCGCUUGGGUCUUCUUUCCAUCCACUGGGGAUGGGGGCGGGGGUGGGGGUAGCCGGCGGCCGUGGUUCCGGAGCGGGAGUCGGAGGUGAGUGUGCGAACUGGACCGGGGCCCCAGAGACUUCGGACUCGCUCUCGGGGAGAACGGUGACCGAGGAGCCCCGGUGGAGUUGAGCUCAGAGUAUUGAUGCUAGCAGAAGCAGACAGACCCCAGAUAGCCUUCCAGCUGCGUGCCAGGGAUGGUGCCUUGAGUGAAUGACCCCCUUGGAGAACAUUCUUCCGCAUCCCUCGCCUCAA